rnacentral:lncRNA from 1 species
UUCCGGACUGGUUUUAAUAGAGAUGAAGAACCCAGCCUCACACAAUAUCCAGAAUCAACCUGCAAAUCUAUGAAAUAAAAUGGCUUCCUGAGAUUUACAUCACACAUUUCCUGUAUCUACAGAACCCACAGAUUUCUUCAUCUAUUGUAGGCCUGUGCUUUCAUCCUGAUAUUAACACUAAGGGGGGGAAACAUUUUAGAAAGAGACAUGUGCUGAGUGCAUUUGUUCCUAAGUCAUCUGAAGGUUGAGAAAGUCAGAUAAUAGUUUCAGUUUAAUCAGAACAAGUUUUCUCAUCUCUUCCUCAAAUAAUUUGCUGUACUUGGGUGGUUGCAGGGAUCCCAAGGACUUCAGAGUCUAGCAAAAUCUGAUCAACUCUCCAAAAAGAGUCCUUCAGAACCUCUCAGACUAACUGCAAAUAACUUUCCAUUUAUUCGAACCAGGUGACAAUAUCAAAUCACAUUAUGUUCAUGUAGGAAGUAAUUGAAAGGCAACUCCUUAGUUCUGAAAUCAGAAGUUGGUCAAAAGUCUAAUAUUUUCGAAAGAUGUAUCAUUUUGAGAAAGUGAAGAAAAUUACAUUUUUCUAUCUUUCAAAAAAAUCUAACAGUAUCUUUUUAUUGCAUUUUUAAGGUACCUUGGUUUCUGCUAUGAUAUUGAAGAACAAAUCAAGGACAUAAGGCUGAGAGAUACAAUGUGGCUGAUUUCAAACAGAAACGAUGCUCAGUACUUCAUUACCUGUUUUGUUGUUGUUCAGAGUCUUCUUUCCAGCUCUUGCCCUGCCUUAGCCUAUGCCACACUUCUGUGCUUCUCCUGUUCUAACAAUGCAAAUUCACUACCCUGGCUUCAUUUUGUUUGACUACUAUUUCUCUAUUCUACUUGAUAACACUGUUUGAUUCAUUUCAAUUCAAUGAAAGUCAAUUCAUUCUAAUUGAUAUUUGAGCAGUUACUCUCUCCUGGAUACAUUUUAUCACCUAUAUUUAGAAUACUCAAAAAUGCAACCUUAAGCUAUCUGAUGGAUCUAAACCUACAUUGUCUAUUGGACAUCAUCUCCAGGGUAACCUAUAAUGUCCUCAUUCUAAGCAUAUCUAAAAUUAAACUUAGGAUUUUUCUCUGGAAAUAAGACUUUACCUACUUCUUACUUAGGAUAACACGAUAUUAAUGUGAAUAUUAUUUUAGCUACUCAUAUAUAAAUCUCUAUGUUGUAUUUAACUAGUUUUUCAAAAUUCCUUUCAAUAAAGCUUCAUUUUCCCCAACAUACAACGCAUCUCCAAUCCCAAAAUGCCUGAACGUACCUUAUCACUUUUAUGCCCUCUUGUACUCCAAGCUAUACAGCAUACAUUGCUAGCUAUACAAAAAUAAGUCAGUGUUAAUGAUGCUUACAGAAGCAGGUAUAAUUUCUUCAGUUUAUGGUAUAAUAGCUUAUGCAAUACUUCACUAUCAUCGCCUUAUUUGCCACUAAGACUCUACAUAUAUUCUACACUCCACAGAAAGUCUUCCUCGAUGUUGUGUAAUUUCUUGCUUCUGAAUUGUUCUCCAACUUUUCUCACCCUUUGGUAGGCCCACUUCUGUCAUUCUGAGUGUAAAAUGUCUGCCUUUUAAGCCCUAGUUUAAAUCACACCUUCUUAAUGAUUUAUGCUGGUGAAAAUAAAUUUAGAAAGAGAAGAAAUAAAGAUGAUAGCCUUUAGUAACAUACAGACUUGAAUUAAAUCCUGGAUCCACCACUUUACAUGCUGUUUGAUCAUCGACAAAUGGCUUUAAAUUGCAACACUGCUCCAAGGGGGGAAAAUUCUAUCCCUUCAGAAUGAAG